AUCCUUGCAAUGUUAUUAUAUUACAGGAUUCAAAGGCACACCAUUUUAUGGUAGCGGAAUAAAGGGUGGAGUGGUGGAGGAGGACUUCUCUUGGUUCGGAUUGGGAGGGUCAUCAAGCAGAGUGUGUAGAGAGGAUGAGGUUGUAAAAUGCCAAAAACUACGUCAGAUGGGAGGUGAAAAUACAGCGAUGUUGCCCUUUUUGAUCCACCACUUUGAGG